GCAUAUCAAUAAGCGGAGGAAAAGAAACCAACAGGGAUUGCCUUAGUAGCGGCGAGUGAAGCGGCAAGAGCUCAAAUUUGAAAUCUGGUACCUUCGGUGCCCGAGUUGUAAUUUGAAGAAAGCUGUCUUGGAAUUGGCCUUUGUCUAUGUUCCUUGGAACAGGACGUCACAGAGGGUGAGAAUCCCGUGCGAUGAGGUGUCCAAUUCCGUUUAAGACGUUUUCGAAGAGUCGAGUUGUUUGGGAAUGCAGCUCUAAGUGGGUGGUAAAUUCCAUCUAAAGCUAAAUAUUGGCGAGAGACCGAUAGCGAACAAGUACUGUGAAGGAAAGAUGAAAAGAACUUUGAAAAGAGAGUGAAAAAGUACGUGAAAUUGUUGAAAGGGAAGGGUAUUCAAUCAGACUUGGUUUUAAGUUAUCAUUACUCCUUGUGGGUGGUGCUCUAGCUUUUUACUGGGCCAGCAUCAGUUUUGGUGGCAAGAUAAUAACAGUUGAAUGUAUCUCCUUUUGGAGUGUUAUAGCUUCUGUUGAUAUUGCCUACUGAGACUGAGGUCUGCGGCUUUUGCCUAGGAUGCUGGCGUAAUGAUUGAAUACCGCCCGUCUUGAAACACGGACC
rnacentral:rRNA from 1 species